UAGGGAAUCUUCGGCAAUGGGGGGAACCCUGACCGAGCAACGCCGCGCGAGUGAAGAAGGUUUUCGGAUCGUAAAGCUCUGUUGUUAAGGAAGAACGAGUGUGAGAAUGGAAAGUUCAUACUGUGACGGUACUUAACCAGAAAGGGACGGCUAACUACGUGCCAGCAGCCGCGGUAAUACGUAGGUCCCGAGCGUUGUCCGGAUUUAUUGGGCGUAAAGCGAGCGCAGGCGGUUAGAUAAGUCUGAAGUUAAAGGCAGUGGCUCAACCAUUGUAGGCUUUGGAAACUGUUUAACUUGAGUGCAGAAGGGGAGAGUGGAAUUCCAUGUGUAGCGGUGAAAUGCGUAAAUAUAUGGAGGAACACCGGUGGCGAAAGCGACUCUCUGGUCUGUAACUGACGCUGAGGCUCGAAAGCGUGGGGAGCGAACAGG
rnacentral:rRNA from 1 species